rnacentral:rRNA from 1 species
GACGAACGCUGGCGGCGUGCCUAACACAUGCAAGUCGAGCGGAGCGGCGAACGGGUGAGUAACGCGUGAGUAACUGCCCCCCUCCCUGGGAUAACAGUUGGAAACGGCUGCUAAUACCGGAUAGUGGGGGAUGACUCGGGUCCGAUCCGCUUGUUGGUGGGGUAGUGGCCUACCAAGGCGACGACGGGUAGCCGGCCUGAGAGUGCGAACGGCCACAAUGGGCUGAGAGAGGGCCCAAUGUCCUACGGGAGGCAGCAGUGGGGAAUAUUGCGCAAUGGGGGAAAGCCUGAUGCAGCAACGCGCGGGCGGGAUGACGGCCUACGGGUUGUAAACCGCUUUCGGCCAUGACGCGGUAGUGGCAGAAGAAGCACCGGCUAACUACGGGCCAGCAGCCGCGGUAAUUC